CAGAGAUUCACAUCAUUGGAAUGACUACAUGUGCCAUCAGCCUGGAUUUUUUAUAUGUGAAAAGCAGGAUGAAAUGGAAAUCAUCGGUUGAUUCGUCUAAUCGAAAACGAAUUGCUUUGCUGCAGACUUGAUCCGAAAUUAUUUGUGAAUGCUAUUAAAAUAUCAAUCAAA